AAUAAGUGCUUCCUCUUUUAGUGUAAUAUAAUAAUAGAAAAUGUUAUUAUCUAGUGCUUUGCUACAUAAUGUGGAGUAUGAGAUUUAAGGUAUUUGAUACUACAUAAGCCUGUAAUCUCUAGAGGCAGGAAAAUUCAUGCAUUAAAACUUUAACUAUUAAAUAUUUUAAUCAUACAUCUUUUAAUCGGUUUCUAUAUGUUCUUGACAUUAUUAUCGGCUCCAUUUUUUUCAUCUUAUAGAGGUGCGAGAAGCAAACUGGGAACUGUACAGGAAACAAAAAGAAGUAGAG
rnacentral:misc_RNA from 1 species